rnacentral:rRNA from 1 species
GGUUAAGCGACUAAGCGUACACGGUGGAUGCCCUGGCAGUCAGAGGCGAUGAAGGACGUGCUAAUCUGCGAAAAGCGUCGGUAAGGUGAUAUGAACCGUUAUAGCCGGCGAUGUCCGAAUGGGGA